rnacentral:rRNA from 1 species
UACGGAGGGGGCUAGCGUUGUUCGGAGUUACUGGGCGUAAAGCGUGCGUAGGCGGUGGUCCAAGUCUGGUGUGAAAUCUCCCGGCUCAACUGGGAGGGUGCGCCGGAAACUGGGCCGCUGGAGUACGGGAGAGGCAAGCGGAAUUCCAGGUGUAGCGGUGAAAUGCGUAGAUAUCUGGAGGAACACCCGUGGUGCAGACGGCCUGCUGGACCGUGACUGACGCUGAGGCACGAAAGCGUGGGUAGCAAACAGG